rnacentral:lncRNA from 1 species
CGGGCACGCGCAUUAAAGGGAAACGCCGGCUGGGGGUUAGGGGUUACCCCAAGACGGUGCAGGCAGUGGGACGAGGAGGCCUUUUACCCCCAUCCACCGCAGCCCUUGACUUCACGCUCGCCUCGAAGCUUUCGCAAAGCAAGAGAAAGAGGCCCACUGCAAUAUGCUGUGAAGAAUACAUAAGAAGUCAAACUGUUGACCUCUUUUCCCCAGCCCGUUCCAAAACUACAUCCCUGAGGAGUUGUGCACCUCUACGGAAAGUUCAGAUGAAAGAGCUAAUUCCCCUUGAUCUCUCUUCUUGUUCAGAGUGGAGGAAAAACAUAUACCAUCCCUUCCAUCAAUCCUCAGCAUAACUUUGCCAGGGACACUGGUAACAAGCUACUUUUACCUCAGAAGUUGGAGAGUAUCACUUGACCCACAUUGUGUAUGUGUAAAUAUCUUUAUUCAGUGUAUAUACAAUAUAUUCUUAAUUUGACUCUCAAAGUUUAUAAUUAGCAUUGAAUGAGUAUGAAACAUUGUUUUCCAAAUACUGUCAGCAAGCUAUUGAAUAUGUUGUUCCUGAUUUAUGAAUGAGAUUUUCA